CCUACGGGGCGCAGCAGUGGGGAAUAUUGCACAAUGGGGGGAACCCUGAUGCAGCGACGCCGCGUGAGUGAAGAAGUAUUUCGGUAUGUAAAGCUCUAUCAGCAGGGAAGAUAAUGACGGUACCUGACUAAGAAGCCCCGGCUAACUACGUGCCAGCAGCCGCGGUAAUACGUAGGGGGCAAGCGUUAUCCGGAUUUACUGGGUGUAAAGGGAGCGUAGACGGCGAUGCAAGUCUGAAGUGAAAGGCGGGGGCCCAACCCCCGGACUGCUUUGGAAACUGGAUGGCUGGAGGGCAGGAGAGGGAA
rnacentral:rRNA from 1 species